UACGUUUCCUUCUACGAUAAUUAAUUGUGCACUAGGUGCUUUUAACUUUCACUGCUUUUAAUUAUUUUAUUGAAUUAACAUGUUGUGUAAUUAAAUGAUGGUUAGAACACACACAUAAUAAUUUUCCUUUUUCUUUUACGUUUCUACUAUCUGCAUGAUUUGAUAAGCAUUGUCACACUUCCUUUGAGUUAGGCACAAUAUUGUUAUAAACAUUUAGUAGUAUUAUGUUUUGUAUCGAAACAAUUAAAGUUAAUUCCUACAUUUGUUUCAGCUGGCUGUCGCAGAUUAUGUUCUACGGAUAUGGACAGAUAACCUAUCUUCGCAUAUACACUUCCUUCUACGAUGAGUAAUUGUUCAAGUGGUAUUUUCCACUUCCACUGUUUUGUUACCACUAUCUGCAGUAUUCGACAAGCAGUGUUGUUCCAUAUACUACCGUACUACAUUGUCUCUUGAAAUCGUUCUUGUGGUCUGUUUCGAUUGUGUUAGUUUUAACUUCUUCGAGUGUAUUGUUCGUGGAAUCCCUUUUACUUUAAUUUUGACGUUUCGUGUGUGGAUUCUGACAAUACCGCCUGGUUUAUUGAAGUGUGUUAAUAUGCCUAGGUGUUUUAUAUAUUUUAUAUCUGGUUGUAUAUAAGAUAUAUUUUGUUUAUUGUGGUUUUGUAUGUCCAUAUUUGCUGUAUAUUAAAUUGCUUGAUAUUUC